AUUGAACGCUGGCGGCAUGCCUUACACAUGCAAGUCAAACGGCAGCAUGAUCUAGCUUGCUAGAUUGAUGGCGAGUGGCGAACGGGUGAGUAAUACAUCGGAACGUGCCCUGUAGUGGGGGAUAACUAGUCGAAAGAUUAGCUAAUACCGCAUACGACCUGAGGGUGAAAGUGGGGGACCGCAAGGCCUCAUGCUAUAGGAGCGGCCGAUGUCUGAUUAGCUAGUUGGUGAGGUAAAGGCUCACCAAGGCGACGAUCAGUAGCUGGUCUGAGAGGACGAUCAGCCACACUGGGACUGAGACACGGCCCAGACUCCUACGGGAGGCAGCAGUGGGGAAUUUUGGACAAUGGGCGAAAGCCUGAUCCAGCAAUGCCGCGUGUGUGAAGAAGGCCUUCGGGUUGUAAAGCACUUUUGUCCGGAAAGAAAUGGCUCUGGUUAAUACCUGGGGUCGAUGACGGUACCGGAAGAAUAAGGACCGGCUAACUACGUG
rnacentral:rRNA from 1 species